rnacentral:rRNA from 1 species
GACGAACGCUGGCGGCGUGCUUAACACAUGCAAGUCGAACGGAAAGGCCCUGCUUUUGUGGGGUGCUCGAGUGGCGAACGGGUGAGUAACACGUGAGUAACCUGCCCUUGACUUUGGGAUAACUUCAGGAAACUGGGGCUAAUACCGGAUAGGAGCUCCUGCUGCAUGGUGGGGGUUGGAAAGUUUCGGCGGUUGGGGAUGGACUCGCGGCUUAUCAGCUUGUUGGUAGGGUAGUGGCUUACCAAGGCUUUGACGGGUAGCCGGCCUGAGAGGGUGACCGGCCACAUUGGGACUGAGAUACGGCCCAGACUCCUACGGGAGGCAGCAGUGGGGAAUAUUGCACAAUGGGCGGAAGCCUGAUGCAGCAACGCCGCGUGCGGGAUGACGGCCUUCGGGUUGUAAACCGCUUUCGCCUGUGACGAAGCGUGAGUGACGGUAAUGGGUAAAGAAGCACCGGCUAACUACGUGCCAGCAGCCGCGGUGAUACGUAGGGUGCGAGCGUUGUCCGGAUUUAUUGGGCGUAAAGGGCUCGUAGGUGGUUGAUCGCGUCGGAAGUGUAAUCUUGGGGCUUAACCCUGAGCGUGCUUUCGAUACGGGUUGACUUGAGGAAGGUAGGGGAGAAUGGAAUUCCUGGUGGAGCGGUGGAAUGCGCAAAUAUCAGGAGGAACACCAGUGGCGAAGGCGGUUCUCUGGGCCUUUCCUGACGCUGAGGAGCGAAAGCGUGGGGAGCGAACAGGCUUAGAUACCCUGGUAGUCCACGCUGUAAACGGUGGGUACUAGGUGUGGGGUCCAUUCCACGGGUUCCGUGCCGUAGCUAACGCUUUAAGUACCCCGCCUGGGGAGUACGGCCGCAAGGCUAAAACUCAAAGGAAUUGACGGGGCCCCGCACAAGCGGCGGAGCAUGCGGAUUAAUUCGAUGCAACGCGUAGAACCUUACCUGGGUUUGACAUGGAUCGGGAGUGCUCAGAGAUGGGUAUGCCUCUUUUGGGGUCGGUUCACAGGUGGUGCAUGGCUGUCGUCAGCUCGUGUCGUGAGAUGUUGGGUUAAGUCCCCGCAACGAGCGCAACCCUUGUUCACUGUUGCCAGCACGUUAUGGUGGGGACUCAGUGGAGACCGCCGGGGUCAACUCGGAGGAAGGUGGGGAUGACGUCAAGUCAUCAUGCCCCUUAUGUCCAGGGCUUCACGCAUGCUACAAUGGCUGGUACAGAGAGUGGCGAGCCUGUGAGGGUGAGCGAAUCUCGGAAAGCCGGUCUCAGUUCGGAUUGGGGUCUGCAACUCGACCUCAUGAAGUCGGAGUCGCUAGUAAUCGCAGAUCAGCAACGCUGCGGUGAAUACGUUCCCGGGGCU